rnacentral:rRNA from 1 species
AACGAACGCUGGCGGCAGGCUUAACACAUGCAAGUCGAACGGUUGUAGCAAUACAGCAGUGGCAGACGGGUGAGUAACACGUGGGAACCUUCCUAGGGGUACGGAACAACUCAGGGAUUAAGCACCAGAAAUGGUGUCUAAUACCGCAUGUGCUCUAAGGAGUAAAGCUUCGGCGCUUUGGGAACGGCCUGCGCAUGAUUAGCUUGUUGGUGAGGUAAUAGCUCACCAAGGCGACGAUCAUUAGCUGGUCUGAGAGGAUGACCAGCCAGACUGGAACUGAGAACGGUCCAGACUCCUACGGGAGGCAGCAGUAGGGAACUUUCCACAAUGGACGAAAGUCUGAUGGAGCAACGCCGCGUGCAGGAUGAAUGCCUUAGGGUUGUAAACUGCUUUUAUAUGUGACGAAUAUGACGGUAGCAUAUGAAUAAGGAUCGGCUAACUCCGUG